rnacentral:rRNA from 1 species
UACGUAGGUGGCAAGCGUUGUCCGGAUUUACUGGGCGUAAAGAUCGCGCAGGCGGUCGUUCAAGUCGCGUGUGAAAGCCCCCGGCUCAACUGGGGAGGGUCACGCGAUACUGAUCGACUCGAAGGCAGGAGAGGGUAGUGGAAUUCCCGGUGUAGUGGUGAAAUGCGUAGAUAUCGGGAGGAACACCAGUGGCGAAGGCGACUACCUGGCCUGUUUCUUGACGCUGAGGCGCGAAAGCUAGGGGAGCAAACGGG